rnacentral:rRNA from 1 species
CCUACGGGCGGCUGCAGUGAGGAAUAUUGGUCAAUGGGCUUACGCCUGAACCAGCCAAGUCGCGUGAGGGAAGACUGCCCUAUGGGUUGUAAACCUCUUUUGUCAGGGAGCAACGCCGGCUACGUGUAGCCGGACUGAGAGUACCUGAAGAAAAAGCAUCGGCUAACUCCGUGCCAGCAGCCGCGGUAAUACGGAGGAUGCGAGCGUUAUCGGGCUUUAUUGGGUUUAAAGGGUGCGUAGGCGGAAUGCCAAGUCAGCGGUAAAAUCGCGGGGCUCAACCUCGCUCCGCCGUUGAAACUGGCGUGCUUGAGUGGGCGAGAAGUAUGCGGAAUGCGUGGUGUAGCGGUGAAAUGCAUAGAUAUCACGCAGAACUCCGAUUGCGAAGGCAGCAUACCGGCGCCCAACUGACGCUGAAGCACGAAAGCGUGGGUAUCGAACAGGAUUAGAUACCCGAGUAGUC